rnacentral:sRNA from 1 species
UAAAAUGGAAAGACCUGGUGAUGCGAUCACUGCAUUACAACAGGCUCGAGAAUUACAAGCUCGGGUACUAAAACGUGUUCAGAUGGAACAGCCAGAUGCAGUUCCUGCACAGAAACAUUUAGCAGCUGAAAUUUGUGCAGAGAUUGCAAAACAUUCUGUUGCUCAGCGAGACUAUGAAAAAGCAAUUAAGUUUUAUAGAGAGGCUCUGGUUCACUGUGAAACAGAUAAUAAGAUUAUGUUGGAACUGGCACGAUUAUACCUGGCACAAGAUGACCCUGAUUCCUGCCUGCGGCAGUGUGCUCUACUGCUUCAGAGUGACCAGGAUAAUGAAGCUGCUACCAUGAUGAUAGCUGAUCUCAUGUUCAGAAAACAAGACUAUGAACAAGCAGUGUUUCAUUUACAGCAGCUUUUAGAACGUAAGCCAGGUAAAUACCUACUGAUUGUAUUUUUUGAGUGCAGUCACCCCUCCCUUUCUCCUUUUUC